rnacentral:rRNA from 1 species
AGCUCCAAUAGCGUAUAUUAAAGUUGUUGCAGUUAAAAAGCUCGUAGUUGACUUUGUGGUGUGUGGCGGGGUCCGCUUUGUCGGUAUUCUGCUGUGCUCCUACUUGGGGAGGACCCGUGGCGGCAUUAGGUUGUUGCUGCGGGGAUAUCCCCUCUUUUACUGUGAAAAAAUCGGUGUGUUCAAAGCAAACUUAUGUUAUGAACGUUCUAGCAUGGAAUAAUGAGAUAGGUUCUACACUUAUUUUGUUGGUUUCUUGUGUGGAAAAUGACUAAUAGGGACAGUUGGGGGUCUUCGUAUUGCAUUGUCAGAGGUGAAAUUCUUGGAUUUCUGCAAGACGAACUAGUGCGAAAGCAUUGACCAAGGAUGUUUUCA